rnacentral:rRNA from 1 species
AACACAUGCAAGUCGAGCGGUAACAGAUCCAGCUUGCUGGAUGCUGACGAGCGGCGGACGGGUGAGUAAUGCAUAGGAAUCUGCCCGAUAGUGGGGGAUAACCUGGGGAAACCCAGGCUAAUACCGCAUACGUCCUACGGGAGAAAGGGGGCUCCGGCUCCCGCUAUUGGAUGAGCCUAUGUCGGAUUAGCUAGUUGGUGAGGUAACGGCUCACCAAGGCGACGAUCCGUAGCUGGUCUGAGAGGAUGAUCAGCCACAUCGGGACUGAGACACGGCCCGAACUCCUACGGGAGGCAGCAGUGGGGAAUAUUGGACAAUGGGGGAAACCCUGAUCCAGCCAUGCCGCGUGUGUGAAGAAGGCCCUCGGGUUGUAAAGCACUUUCAGCGAGGAAGAACGCCUAGCGGUUAAUACCCGCUAGGAAAGACAUCACUCGCAGAAGAAGCACCGGCUAACUCCGUGCCAGCAGCCGCGGUAAUACGGAGGGUGCAAGCGUUAAUCGGAAUUACUGGGCGUAAAGCGCGCGUAGGUGGCUUGAUAAGCCGGUUGUGAAAGCCCCGGGCUCAACCUGGGAACGGCAUCCGGAACUGUCAAGCUAGAGUGCAGGAGAGGAAGGUAGAAUUCCCGGUGUAGCGGUGAAAUGCGUAGAGAUCGGGAGGAAUACCAGUGGCGAAGGCGGCCUUCUGGACUGACACUGACACUGAGGUGCGAAAGCGUGGGUAGCAAACAGGAUUAGAUACCCUGGUAGUCCACGCCGUAAACGAUGUCGACCAGCCGUUGGGUGCCUAGCGCACUUUGUGGCGAAGUUAACGCGAUAAGUCGACCGCCUGGGGAGUACGGCCGCAAGGUUAAAACUCAAAUGAAUUGACGGGGGCCCGCACAAGCGGGUGGAGCAUGUGGGUUUAAUUCGAU